CGGAGGAAAAGAAACCAACAGGGAUUGCCCUAGUAACGGCGAGUGAAGCGGCAACAGCUCAAAUUUGAAAGCUAGCCUUCGGGUUCGCAUUGUAAUUUGUAGAGGAUGCUUUGGGUAAAACGCCAGUCUAAGUUCCUUGGAACAGGACGUCAUAGAGGGUGAGAAUCCCGUAUGUGACUGGAAAUGUUAACCUAUGUAAAGCUCCUUCGACGAGUCGAGUUGUUUGGGAAUGCAGCUCUAAAUGGGAGGUAAAUUUCUUCUAAAGCUAAAUAUUGGCGAGAGACCGAUAGCGCACAAGUAGAGUGAUCGAAAGAUGAAAAGCACUUUGGAAAGAGAGUUAAAAAGCACGUGAAAUUGUUGAAAGGGAAGCGCUUGCAAUCAGACUUGUUUAAACUGUUCGGCCGGUCUUCUGACCGGUUUACUCAGUUUGGACAGGCCAGCAUCAGUUUCGGCGGCCGGAUAAAGGCUCUGGGAAUGUGGCCUCCACUUCGGUGGAGGUGUUAUAGCCCAGUGUGUAAUACGGCCAGCCGGGACUGAGGUCCGCGCUUCGGCUAGGAUGCUGGCGUAAUGGUUGUAAGCGACCCGUCUUGAAACACCCGGACCA
rnacentral:rRNA from 1 species